rnacentral:rRNA from 1 species
GACGAACGCUGGCGGCGUGCCUAACACAUGCAAGUCGAGCGGAGACAGGGAGUAGCUUGCUACGAACUGUUUUAGCGGCGGACGGGUGAGUAACGCGUGAGCAACCUUUCCCAGACAGGGGAAUAACACACCGAAAGGUGUACUAAUACCGCAUAAGACCACGGGAUCACAUGGUUCUGGGGUAAAAGAAUUAUCGGUUUGGGGUGGGCUCGCGUCCGAUUAGGUAGUUGGUGAGGUAACGGCCCACCAAGCCGACGAUCGGUAGCCGACCUGAGAGGGUGAUCGGCCACAUUGGGACUGAGACACGGCCCAAACUCCUACGGGAGGCAGCAGUGGGGAAUAUUGGGCAAUGGAGGAAACUCUGACCCAGCAACGCCGCGUGGAGGAAGAAGGUUUUCGGAUCGUAAACUCCUGUC